AUUGAACGCUGGCGGCAGGCCUAAUACAUGCAAGUCGAGCGGGAACUUCGGUUCUAGCGGCGGACGGGUGAGUAAUGCGUAGGAAGCUACCCGACAGAGGGGGAUACCAGUUGGAAACGACUGUUAAUACCGCAUAAUGUCUACGGACCAAAGUGUGGGACCUUCGGGCCACAUGCUGUCGGAUGCGCCUACGUGGGAUUAGCUAGUUGGUGAGGUAAUGGCUCACCAAGGCGACGAUCCCUAGCUGGUUUGAGAGGAUGAUCAGCCACACAGGAGAUAGGAGACGGUCCAGACUGCGACGGGAGGCAGGAGUGGGGAAGAUUGGACAAUGGGCGAAAGCCUGAUCCAGCCAUGCCGCGUGUGUGAAGAAGGCCUUCGGGUUGUAAAGCACUUUCAGUAGGGAGGAAGAGUUGAGUGUUAAUAGUACUCAGCUUUGACGUUACCUACAGAAGAAGCACCGGCUAACUCUGUGCCAGCCGCCGCAGUAAUAC
rnacentral:rRNA from 1 species